UCUUAUGGAUGAGCAAAGAAAGUGGUUUCUUGAGAUAGAAUCUACUCCUGGUGAAGAUGGUCUGAA
rnacentral:pre_miRNA from 1 species